AGUCCGUGACAAAAGUCGAAUUGAUGGUGCAAGUAAUUGCAUCUCCCUCUCCCCUCUUCCGGAAACAGCAAAUUCAAAAACAAGAAAUCGCCUUUAAUGGUUGUUGAUGUUGAUAAUGAAAACCUAGAGUUGGAGAGAUAGAUGAUGUCGCAUUCGCACAAGCAUCUAGAUUCACGCCACUCUAUUGACUCCUGCACCCUCCACCUCCACAACUGGAGACCCUUUCAUCUCCAGAACAGUAACACCCUUGACUCCGAUUCUUCUAAACCCUACUCUUCCUCCAAUGGAGUCUACAGUAAGCGUCCUUGUCUCUCCGAUCGUGCCACCUCUUUCUCCAUCAUGGACGCCAUUGACAUGUCUAAAUUGUCCCUCAUCGACGACGAUAAAUCUAUCACCACUGCUUCUUACAAGAGGCCCACUCUUCGAUUAGUCCACAGAAAAAGACGCCGCCGCGGCUCCAGGUCUGUCUCCGGUCGGAGUAGCGAUCGUAGGGGGACUCGCCGAUGCUGCUCUGUGGGAGCCUCUGCGGCCUAUGGUACCUGCUCAGAUUUUCAUGUUGCCGUAGGCACGGAUUCAAGCGGCGAACUUUUUAUGAACGGGGAGGCAAAUUGGGCGUCUGAUGUAAGUGAAGCCAAAAACUCAAGGAGGGAUAGAGAUAAUGGAAGUGGAGAGAAGGAGAAUUUGGGAGUUGGUUUUGGUCAAUUUGGGGGUUUAGAUGCUCCGGGAAAUGAAUCUGGGUAUGGGAGUGAACCCGGUUACCGUGGUGAUGCUGAGUUUGGAUAUGGCGAUGAGUUUGAUGAGGAGGAGGAUGAGGGCAGGUUGUUGUUUUGGGGAGAACAUUCGGGAGAUGAAUGAACCUACAUGGAUAUAGAAUGGUAUGAGGACUUUUUGGUUUUAUAUUGUGUAGAUCUUCUAUCCCACUCAGAGGGUCAGAUUCAAAACUGGAGAUGGUUGGGGAGAACACAUUCUCUGAUCAAAAAUCACAUUACAGGUGCCGCCGCAAGAAACAUGACUGUAGAAUGGUUGAUUCACUGAAGUAAUCUUUCUUUUCAGCAAAUUUUACCAAUUCCUUUAUUUGCUUCACAAUGUAAUGAUCUCUGUGACCCUGUGCUAUGCUGUCUCAUAUCAUACUCUUUGAAAUUUUGUAAGAUUCUUUUCAACUCUGUAGGGAGGGGAUAACAGCAGUAUCCUGAAGCCAGCGUGAAUUGUAAAAUGUUCAAAUAUGAAACUGUAUUUUCCUAUAUAAUGUUAAUGACUGAAGAUCUGUAAUUUAUUUUUCUA